AUUGUCUGGGCCUGACACAGCGCCGACCACUGCGCUGUCACUCAUUACUGUGGCACUCGUGUUUCCACUGAAAGUCUUAGCAUGCUGCUGAGCUAGCUCACUGGCAUGGCAUAUUUUUACAGCAUCUUCUAAGCAUUUCGAGUACAGGAAUCCUUAAGAAGAGUUGACCCAGAAGGUACUCUGAUGUGCACUCUAUCGAUGUACACAGUGAGACGGAGAAAAUACUCAGUGCCAGCUCCUAACUGUCGGUGGCAUAUCGAUGGAAACCACAAACUCAUUAGGUGGCGUAUAGUCAUUCAUGGAGGGAUUGAUGGGUUUAGCCGGCUGAUUGUUUACCUUAAAGCUGCCACCAACAACCGAGCCUCAACUGUGCUUGAACACUUCAUAGCAGCUGUCGAUCAGUAUGGCUUACCUUCCCGGGUGAGAUCAGAGAAAGGUGGGGAAAAUGUAGACGUGGCACACUUCAUGGUGAACAGCAGAGGGGGGAACAGAAGUUCACACAUCAUUGGACGAAGUGUGCACAA